GCGGUGGGCGGGGCCCAGACCGAAGCUGAGCGUGCGCGGAGCUGUCAGCCGCGCCCACGCCGCGCUUCCUCCGAAGUUGCAAAGCGCUGGGAGGACCUGUCACAGCGGAACGACGACGGCGCCGGCAGCCGAAGGAAAGGCAGCCCACGCGGGGGCUGCCCCGAGUGGCAACGAAGCCACCUCCCGCUGCUCUAAGCCGCGGGAGGAAGCGAUGCGCUGUCCUCCUCCGGUCCCACCAUCUGCGUCCCGACACCGGGCGGACUCCGCCCCCGCAGUCCGAGCAUCCCGAACGUCCACAGCAUCCCGCACAGAGGCAGGCAUCCGGCCACACCCUGCUCCUCGCCGGGUCCUCUCCCGCCCACACCGGCCCAGGCAGAGUCUCCGUAACAUAUAACACAGUAUCAGGCAACCUAACACAUGUGAAGUUCCCUGAAGAGGAGGAGAAAGAAAAUUACCUUGCUGAGCAGAACUGUAUUGCGUGUGACUGUACUUUUGUGUCAGCUUGCCUGUCCACCAGGCCCACGCUGUCACGCCAAUCUGGACAGUGUCAAAAUGUCUUCCCAGGUCUUCAUACAGUAAUAGUUUAACUCUGCAGAGAUGGAAACCCACUCUCAGUUGGCCUCCUCCACCUUUUGAUAAUCAUCUUUUAAUGCUUAAAUCUCAAGCUACACUGGCAUCCUUCCAUCUCUGGGAUCCCAGGACUGUGUCUCCCUUUCCUGAAUGCUCCUCCCUCAAAUAUCCUCUGGCUGACUUUUUCCUUUUUUAGCUCUUUGUUGAAAUGUUAUUUUCUCUGUGAGGCCUGAGAUUAAAAGAAACAAAAACAAAUCUUGCAUAUUAUCUCCUUCUGUGCAUUACUUUGUUUGGCCUGCCACAGCUUAUACACAGACUAAAUGGUCUGUGUAAGAGAAAUGUCUUAAUUGUGGAGGUUAAAAGUUCAUGGCCAAGGUGUUGGUAAGUGUGUUUUCCCCUAAGGCUUUUUAACCCUGUGUGCUUGAGCUACCGCAGGAUCUGAAUCCAGACUUACUCUAGACAAGGAUGUGAGUCAGAGUCUACCUUAAGGUCCUCAUUUUAAUCAUUUCUCUAAUUCUCACCUCCAGAGUCUGGAUAGCCCUGGGUAGCCCAGGAGUUAAGAACAGUUGCAGCUCUUACGGAGAAGCAAAGGUUUGUUCCCAGCACCCACAUCAGACAGCUCUCAACUUCCUGUAACUCCAGCUUCAGGGGUCCUGUCCCUCUUCCGGCCUCAUGGGCACGUCCAUAUUCCUAC
rnacentral:lncRNA from 1 species